UUUCCUCUGACCAGAAGACGGUCUCUGACGUCAUAUCACGUGAUGGAAGUGCACCGCUAAGAACAGCCAAGUGUUAGUCCAGUCUCCUCCUAACAUGAAGCUGCUUAUCGUUUUCCUGGUAUUGGCCUGUGUUUCAAUUCAAAUCUCCGUUUUGAAGCCUACCGGUAAGCCUACUGGUAAUCAUACUGGUAAUCAUACGUCAGCAAAGACGUGUUGGCGUGAAACCUGUACUAAUGACUUUGAUUGCACUUCAAGAGCAUCAGGAAUACGCAGUCGACACUGCUUUAAUGGCUGUUGUUACUACAGCAUUUCAAAGUAGCCUCCCUUUGCUGCACCGGAACUAGAAUUGAUUUGUGGGGCAAAAGUAGUACUACUUGGAUUUAAGAAAACAAUUUUUUAAAAUUACAAAAUCAAUGUAGGCCUAUGACUAUUUGUCAUUGUAAAUAAAUAUUGCUUGAUUAA